CAAAAACAUAGCCAACAGAAAAAAUUAAUGUCAGUGAAACCUGCUCCAUGAAAAUAGCUGCGGUAACCGUGACCGUACUAAGGUAGCAUAAUAAAUCGUCUAUUAAUUGUAGAAUAGAAUGAAGGUCAAACGAAAAUUCAACUGUCUCAAAAAACACUUGUGAAAAUAAAAAGUGUGUGAAUAUACACACACAAACGGCAAGACGAUAAGACCCUACGAACUUUAAAUAAUACGUUUCGUUGGGGCAACGACCUUAAAAAAGUAACUAAGGUAAAACCCAUUAAACAAUUAAUGCAAUAAAAUAAAAGUUCCGUAGGGAUA
rnacentral:rRNA from 1 species